UACGGAGGGAGCUAGCGUUGUUCGGAAUUACUGGGCGUAAAGCGCACGUAGGCGGCUAUUCAAGUCGGGGGUGAAAGCCCUGGGCUCAACCCAGGAAGUGCACUCGAAACUGUCAGGCUUGAAUAUGGAAGAGGGUCGCGGAAUUCCCGGUGUAGAGGUGAAAUUCGUAGAUAUCGGGAGGAACACCAGUGGCGAAGGCGGCGACCUGGGCCAAUAUUGACGCUGAGGUGCGAAAGCGUGGGGAGCAAACAGG
rnacentral:rRNA from 1 species